UACGUAGGGUGUGAGCGUUGUCCGGAAUUAUUGGGCGUAAAGAGCUUGUAGGCGGUUUGUCGCGUCUGCUGUGAAAAUCCGGGGCUCAACCCCGGACUUGCAGUGGGUACGGGCAGACUAGAGUGUGGUAGGGGAGACUGGAAUUCCUGGUGUAGCGGUGAAAUGCGUAGAUAUCUGGAGGAAUACCGGUGGCGAAGGCGGCAUCCUGGACCGACAUUGACGCUGAACGGCGAAAGCUAGGGGAGCAAACGGG
rnacentral:rRNA from 1 species